GAAGGCAUAGCUUAGUGGUAGAGUGCAUGCCUAGCAUGCAUGAGGUCUUGGGUUCAAUUCCCAGUACUUCCA
rnacentral:tRNA from 1 species